rnacentral:lncRNA from 1 species
AUAGUCAGUAGAUAGUUGAUUUCGUCGAGGGCUACAGUUGGAUUUGCAUCCUAAAAAACCAUAGGUUCACAGCCUUCGUUACUUUUGGUCUUUCGGGGGUCCACACGUCAUUGUAAAUUAAAUUACAUACUCUGGUUAUCUGUGUUAUUGUAUGUACGAAUUUAUUUUGCUUUUACGCUACAAAAAUUAUUUACGGAUAUCUCUAUAGAAA